rnacentral:rRNA from 1 species
GAUGAACGCUGGCGGCGUGCUUAGCACAUGCAAGUCGAACGGUGAAGGCGGAGCUUGCUCUGCUGGAUCAGUGGCGAACGGGUGAGUAACACGUGAGCAAUCUGCCCCUGACUCUGGGAUAAGCGCUGGAAACGGCGUCUAAUACUGGAUACGAGCUGCGAAGGCAUCUUCAGCAGCUGGAAAGAAUUUCGGUCAGGGAUGAGCUCGCGGCCUAUCAGCUUGUUGGUGAGGUAAUGGCUCACCAAGGCGUCGACGGGUAGCCGGCCUGAGAGGGUGACCGGCCACACUGGGACUGAGACACGGCCCAGACUCCUACGGGAGGCAGCAGUGGGGAAUAUUGCACAAUGGGCGAAAGCCUGAUGCAGCAACGCCGCGUGGGGGACGACGGCCUUCGGGUUGUAAACCUCUUUUAGCAGGGAAGAAGCGAAAGUGACGGUACCUGCAGAAAAAGCGCCGGCUAACUACGUG